rnacentral:lncRNA from 1 species
AAAAGUGCCACAAAAAGAGUUGUAGGUGUACUUGAGGUGGACCAAUUAACCGACCUAUCAGAAUAGGUUUUUGCAUUACAGAAUUUGAUCAACACUUGGUUUAGCUACAUAAAAUUAGGAGCUCCACAACCUGCCACAUCCGUCAAUGUAGUUAAAAAAAUUAGUGGAUGGUUUGAGAUACGCAUAAAUAGUGGUCAUUCUGUGAUCAUAUGUUCUUCAAAUCAAGAAUUAGUGAUGUAUGUGGGUAAUAUGAAAAUGACAAAGUAUGGUAAUGCCUACAAUAUGAAGUGGCAUACUUAGCCAUUAAAUCAACCAUGGAACGCCCCACAUCAACAGGCCCAACCAAAUUAAUCAAAUAACAAUAUAGAGUAGAUUAUGAAAUAGAUCUUAGCUAAUUAGACACAGUUUGUUGUAGACUUACAAAAUUUAUAAGCAGCCACAAGAAGUAUAGAGUUGUAUAUGGAAAAAAUUAGCAAGCAG